CAGAGCCUACAGAGGAAAAAUGACUCACUUGCAUUUGAAACUAUUCUUUCAUAUUCCAGUUGAUGGCUUUAUUAUUCAAAUCUGAGACGUAUGGGUUAGAGAGUUGUGUCAGUCUUGUCUAGAACAGAUUACACGAUGCGCUAAGUUAGUUUAAAGGUAAAGGUAAGGUAAAUGAAGUUUAAAUAAACUUUAUUUUGUUCAAAUUGUCCAUGUUUACACAUCAAAAUGGUGCAAAAGAGAUGCACAAGUUGUCAGCUUUCCUGAGUGCAGGGGUGCCGAAUUCAUUUUCCAAAGGGUCACACUGAGAAAUAAGAAUCAUAUCAAAUGGUUUACUGACAUGUUUUCAUUUAGUCAAAAUUGGAUGUUUCAUAUAGUUUGAUCCACAUGACGCCUUCUACCAGUCAUUUAGCUUUUAUAGUAUUCAGUAAAAUCACAUAUUUUUAUUAUAGUUCUAUGAGUAGACUUACCUGCAGCUACAGGGAGGGUGUGAUACACAGUGAUGUCUAAGCAAAGUCGCAAUUUUGUUCUUGCUCAUAUUUCUACAAGUCUUACAGAUCCAGAAAUGUAAUGAUAGGUUUACUCCGAUAUUUGGAAAUAACAACUUUCUUCCUGGUAGGGCCGAUGCAGGUUUUAAAUUUUGGUUCGAUCAAGGUAUAAGAAAAGUGUCUGAUAUAUUUAGGAAUAAUACUCUUAUGUCUUUCGAACAACUUAGAAGUACUUUUUCUAUUCCUGUCAAACAUUUUUUUUAAUUUCUUCAAUUAAGAAAUUUUAUCUUAACCACACAAGGUAACAGCUUAGAAAUCCCCACCUACUCCUCUCUAGAGAACACAGUUAUAAAGCAUCUAAAUGGGAGAGGCCAAGCUUCUGCAUUGUACAAAUUAUUUAUGGAAAAUUCCAAAGAAUCAACACAGUCUAUUUUAGAGGAAUGGAGGAAUGAUUUGCAAAUGAACAUAUCUGAUGAUGAGUGGUAUAAAUCAUGCUCCUUGGCCCAGAGUCAAACAAUUAAUGUGCUACUUCAAUAUAAAUGGUUAACAAGACAACAUAUUACUCCGUCAAAAAUGCAUCAUUUUAACUCAAACAUCCCAGACACCUGUAUUAAGUGUGGAGUGGACAGGGGCACUUUAUUUCACUGUAUAUGGGAGUGUCCACAUGUGAAAAUCUUUUGGGAAAAGGUAAUAAAUCUGUUGAGUCAAAUCAUUGGUGAUGUGAUUCCACUUCAUCCUAAAAUAUGUAUUUUAAAUAUAUACCCGAAUAAUUUUGUACCUGCUGCAAACAAUAGAGCUCUGUUAACGAUUGGACUUUUGGAAGCCAAGCGCUGUAUUGCUAUGUGUUGGAAAAAUCAAAAAAUAUGUGGAUUAUCUCAAUGGCUUAAUGGACUGACAUCUAUACUAUCUAUGGAGAAAAUAACUUAUACAUUAAGGAAUAAACUGGACAAGUUUUGGGCGCUAUGGUCUAAAUACUACAACUUUCUGGAGAGCUGCAACGUAUACACUGUGGACUUAACAGCCUGAAACUCUAAGUUGAUUUGUAUAUCUGUCCUUCCCUUUUGUUAUGGUUUGCUUUAUUUUUGUUUCUAUUAUUAUGUUGUUUCUGUUGUUGUUGUGGUUUUGUUUUUAUUUAUUUAUUUUAUUUUACUUUUACUUUAUUAUUUUUUAUUUAUUAUUUUAUUUAUUUAAUUUAUA
ensembl:lncRNA